rnacentral:rRNA from 1 species
AGAGUUUGAUCAUGGCUCAGGACGAACGCUGGCGGCGUGCUUAACACAUGCAAGUCGAACGAUGACGGAGGAGCUUGCUCCUCCUGAUUAGUGGCGAACGGGUGAGUAAUACGUGAGCAAUGUGCCCUUGACUCUGGGAUAAGCGCUGGAAACGGCGUCUAAUACCGGAUACGACGAUCGGAGGCAUCUCCUGGUCGUGGAAAGAAUUUCGGUCAAGGAUCAGCUCACGGCCUAUCAGUUAGUUGGUGAAGUAAUGGCUCACCAAGACGACGACGGGUAGCCGGCCUGAGAGGGUGACCGGCCACACUGGGACUGAGACACGGCCCAGACUCCUACGGGAGGCAGCAGUGGGGAAUAUUGCACAAUGGGCGCAAGCCUGAUGCAGCAACGCCGCGUGAGGGACGAAGGCCUUCGGGUUGUAAACCUCUUUUAGCAGGGAAGAAGCGAAAGUGACGGUACCUGCAGAAAAAGCACCGGCUAACUACGUGCCAGCAGCCGCGGUAAUACGUAGGGUGCAAGCGUUGUCCGGAAUUAUUGGGCGUAAAGAGCUCGUAGGCGGUUUGUCACGUCUGCUGUGAAAACCCGAGGCUCAACCUCGGGCUUGCAGUGGGUACGGGCAGACUAGAGUGCGGUAGGGGAGAUUGGAAUUCCUGGUGUAGCGGUGGAAUGCGCAGAUAUCAGGAGGAACACCGAUGGCGAAAGCAAAUCUCUGGGCCGUAACUGACGCUGAGGAGCGAAAGCAUGGGGAGCAAACAGGCUUAGAUACCCUGGUAGUCCAUGCCGUAAACGUUGGGAACUAGAUGUGGGGACCAUUCCACGGUCUCCGUGUCGUAGCUAACGCAUUAAGUUCCCCGCCU